rnacentral:rRNA from 1 species
CCCUUAGAUGUUCUGGGCCGCACGCGUGCUACACUGAGUGGAUCAGCGGGUCAGGUUGCGCGAAAGUGUUUCCUAAUCUUGAAAUCCGCUCGUGAUGGGGAUUGACGGUUGCAAUUUUCCGUCAUGAACGAGGAAUACCUUGUAAGCGCGGGUCAUCAUCCCGCGCUGAAUACGUCCCUGCCCUUUGUACACACCGCCCGUCGCUCCUACCGAUUGAACGUUUUAGUGAGGUAUUUGGACUGGGCCUUGGGAGGUUUCGGCCUCCCUUGUUGCUCGGAAAGACUCCCAAACUUGAGCGUUUAGAGGAAGUAAAAGUCGUAACA